GACGAACGCUGGCGGCGUGCUUAACACAUGCAAGUCGAACGGAAAGGCCCCUUUGGGGGUACUCGAGUGGCGAACGGGUGAGUAACACGUGAGUAACCUGCCCUUGACUUCGGGAUAACUUCAGGAAACUGGGGCUAAUACCGGAUAGGAAUCCUUGCUGCAUGGUGGGGGUUGGAAAGCUUCGGCGGUUUUGGAUGGACUCGCGGCUUAUCAGCUUGUUGGUGGGGUAGUGGCUUACCAAGGCUUUGACGGGUAGCCGGCCUGAGAGGGCGACCGGCCACAUUGGGACUGAGAUACGGCCCAGACUCCUACGGGAGGCAGCAGUGGGGAAUAUUGCAAAAUGGGCGGAAGCCUGAUGCAGCAACGCCGCGUGCGGGAUGACGGCCUUCGGGUUGUAAACCGCUUUCAGCAGGGGCGAAGCUUGUGGUGACGGUACCUGCAGAAGAAGCACCGGCUAACUACGUG
rnacentral:rRNA from 1 species